UGGGGAAUCUUCCGCAAUGGGCGAAAGCCUGACGGAGCAACGCCGCGUGAGUGAAGAAGGUCUUCGGAUCGUAAAGCUCUGUUGUCGGGGACGAAUGUUGAGGCCUAGAAUAUAGGUUUCAAAUGACGGUACCUGACGAGGAAGCCACGGCUAACUACGUGCCAGCAGCCGCGGUAAUACGUAGGUGGCGAGCGUUGUCCGGAAUUAUUGGGCGUAAAGGGAGCGCAGGCGGGAAGGUAAGUCUAUCUUAAAAGUGCGGGGCUUAACCCCGUGAUGGGAUGGAAACUGAGAGGCUGGAGUAUCGGAGAGGAAAGUGGAAUUCCUAGUGUAGCGGUGAAAUGCGUAGAGAUUAGGAAGAACACCGGUGGCGAAGGCGACUUUCUGGACGACAACUGACGCUGAGGCGCGAAAGCGUGGGGAGCAAACAGGAUUAGAUACCCUGGUAGU
rnacentral:rRNA from 1 species